GACGAACGCUGGCGGCGUGCUUAACGCAUGCAAGUCGAACGGAAAGGCCCUGCUUUUGUGGGGUGCUCGAGUGGCGAACGGGUGAGUAACACGUGAGUAACCUGCCCUUGACUUUGGGAUAACUUCAGGAAACUGGGGCUAAUACCGGAUAGGAGCUCCUGCUGCAUGGUGGGGGCUGGAAAGUUUCGGCGGUUGGGGAUGGACUCGCGGCUUAUCAGCUUGUUGGUGGGGUAGUGGCUUACCAAGGCUUUGACGGGUAGCCGGCCUGAGAGGGUGACCGGCCACAUUGGGACUGAGAUACGGCCCAGACUCCUACGGGAGGCAGCAGUGGGGAAUAUUGCACAAUGGGCGGAAGCCUGAUGCAGCAACGCCGCGUGCGGGAUGACGGCCUUCGGGUUGUAAACCGCUUUCGCCUGUGACGAAGCGUGAGUGACGGUAAUGGGUAAAGAAGCACCGGCUAACUACGUG
rnacentral:rRNA from 1 species